rnacentral:rRNA from 1 species
ACCGGAGCUAAUACCGGAUAAUAUAUUGAACCGCAUGGUUCAAUAGUGAAAGACGGUUUUGCUGUCACUUAUAGAUGGAUCCGCGCCGCAUUAGCUAGUUGGUAAGGUAACAGCUUACCAAGGCAACGAUGCGUAGCCGACCUGAGAGGGGUGAUCGGCCACACUGGAACUGAGACACGGUCCAG